AAGUGAGACCCUGUCUUUAUUUAAAAUUAAGGAAAAAUAAAGAUACGAUACUGUAUGCAGAUUUAAAUCAUUUUGAGCAAGUCGUAUUUUCUUGCCACCUUGGAAGAGUCAAUUAACAUUUAUUGCUGGCCACAUGGCAGACAAUAUGCUCAAUGCUUCAUGGGCAUUAUCUCAUUUCUGUUUUAAAUUACAAAAUGAAGUCUAUGGAUGUUGAAAAUUUUGAAAGAUAUAGAAAAACACAGGAUAAAAAUUGAGAGGCUCUCGUCUCUUCUGCCUUCCCUUACCUUCUCUCUCACUGCUCUCUUUCCCUACAGCUUACCCUAGUGGUACAUGUAUGGUUGUGUGCCGGAUAUGUAUGUGUGUGUUUGUGGGUAGCUGUGUGUACAUACACACAUAACCAUACAAACAAGACCAUAGCUAUUUAUUGUAUUAAGACUUUUCCCCCCUUUUUAAUAGUGUAAUUUGGAUAUUUUCCUGCCUUCUACCAAAUACAUAAAUAUCAUGUUUCUUAAUACUCUUAAUAGUCUAUUCCAUAGUUUAGACUGUAUUUAACAACUCCCUUAUCAUUAGAUAUUUAGGCUUGUCCAGCUUUUUGCUAUCACAAACAGGGAUCUUGGUGUAUAUGUGAAUGUUGGCAGCAGGUUAGCAGAGCACCAGAAGUGGGACUACUGGUCAAACCUUUGCACAAAAAUCAUACAGCCUCUAAUAGCAUUUCCCAGAGAAGAAAAGGGCCUUGUCUGGAACACAGAUCAAGAACUCUUAACUUUUUCUGAUCCAUGCUUUACAUUGCCACUUGAUAAAUACUACAUGUCAUCUCUAAGUACCACUAAAUCUCCCAUCUGGAGAGAUGGGACACUCUCCUUUAUACCUUUGAUGACUUUACUACCCAUGAUAAAAGCAGGAGAUCCCACCUUCCAGCUGCCCCUUCUUAAACAUCUAACUCUGUGCAAGUCCCAACCCUCAUUUAAUCACUUUGCUACUUCAUUGCAUUCAUCACACCAACUUGCAGUUAUUUGUACAGUUGUUCAUCUUCCAUUAGACUGAGCCCUCUGAGGGCAGGAAAUAUUUUUCAUUCUUCUUGGAACUUCCUUUUCCUAACAUAGUGUCUGAGAUGCUCAAUAAACUUUUUUUUGAGUGAAUAAAAAAUAAAUGAGGGAGUAGAAUACCUAGAUGAAUUCAGUUAUAAAAUGGCUCCAGGUACUGAAAUUGUCCAUUUUCAUUUUUAUGUUUUUGCAAUAAGAAAGAUGAACAUGCAUCUCCCCUAGUGCUACUUUUUUCAAAACUAAAUAUUCUAAUUCCAAGGCUUUAUUUCCGUCAAAUAACUACCACUUCCAAAUUCUUCUGUUAUUUUUAUUGUUCUCCAGGAUCUCUCCAUCUCAAUCAUGUCAUACAUUGGAAACAAUUCUCUGACACUUCAUCUAUAUACAAUCAACACUUUGUUAGGCUCUUGUAGCUGCCUCAUUUUUUGUAACACAAUAGAAUACUUGCCUUAAUAAUAAAUUAUAUUUGCCUUACAGUAUGGCUUAUUAGAUACCCAAAAUGUUUUCUGCCAUGCUUUCGAAAUGUUUUGACUGCAUGACAUUCUAUGGUGUUAAAAUUCCCCAAAAUGAAUGAUUUAUACUGCAUUUGCCUUAAUUGGAAUCUAUCCUGUUUUCAUCUUUCCUACUUUGACAGUCAUCUCAAUGUAAAUCCUGUGUCAGAGGUGCUUAUCUGUCUCUUUGCUACUUUUCUUUGAAAACUAAACAUAAACACAAGAAAUUUCACAUAGUAAAACUAGUAAGAUCUGGGUUUAUAAAUAUAAAUGGUGCAUCUGUGGCGGCAGAGCUCUGUCUCCAACUUCUUGGAGAUAAACAAGUUCAUAGUUAGAAAUGCUCUAGAAGUAAACAGGAAACCUGCUACACAAAUUGUGAAAUAUAAGUAUGUUUUAUAGAAGUCCUGAAAUUGUAUUUUUCAACAAGUUAAAACAGAAAAACCUAACACUACCAUAUCCAUUAAAUAUUAAUUCUCUCUUCCUCAAAUGUUUUACUCAUAUCUAUGCCUGUCCCUUUGGAACAUUUUUCAGUCAAAUUCAUAACACUGUCUUGAUUCCAAGCCUCAGGAGAACAUUUGAAUGAAAUUUUCAAAUGCUUCAAUUUUUAUAUCAUCCAAUGUGGAAUUCACAUUUACUGAGCACCUGCAAUGAGCUAGGAUCUGUACUACAUACUUUUAAAAAUACAUUAUUUUUCCUAAGAAAGUUCUGAGGUAGAUAUAUUAUUUUACAGAUGAGGAAACAGAGGUUCAGAGAGGUUAACUGACUUCACAAAAGUCAUAGAGCUACUAGGUAACAGAGCUCAUUGAACAUGGAGCUAGGAUUCAACCCUGGAUCGCCGUGAAGCCAUUUUGUUUCCAUGACAUCAUGACAUUGGUUAUAACACCACAAUUGUUUAGAAUAUAAGGCUUGUUUAGAAUGCAAGGCUUCCUCAAUUCUCCACCCUUCCCCUCUUGACAUCUUGCUCUUCUUCCCUUCAUCUAUUGUGUUAGUCAGGUGCAUGCUGGUCUUCCCUCUAUCAAACUGUAAGCUACUUGGAGACUUGGGAUGCCUCACUCAUCUCUAUUCCCAAACCUCAGGGUCUAUCAUUCUACCUUCUGUAUAGACAGGACUUUCAUAGUUUUGAACAAGUCAGAACCUGAAAGAAUUUGCUUCCAGAACAGGACAUUGACAGGAAAAUUAAGCAUGAUCAUGCCGAGUAAAAUAGGAAUAAGAAUUGGACCUACCUCAAGAUCUGUUGAGAAGAUUAUGAGAGAGCUGAUGGAUCUAAAAGAUUGGCGCUUGAUAGAAUUGGGAUCAUUUGUUUUGACUAGAACAAUCUCUUGCAGCUUGGAUGGAGAAACUUUACAGAGGUUUCAGCCAAACACUCAUGAAUUCUUUAAUGUGUGAAAUAAAGUAAGUUUUAUAGGCAAAUAACAAUCUGAAUCCCUAACUAGCUAUUUCAUAUAAUAUGCAUAUAACUCUGAAAAUUACAUACAUCAAAUUUCAAUUUGGCUUCAUGCAUGCUUUGUUUUAUAGAUUCAUAAAGGCAGAUUUUCUCUGAUUAUCAGACUUAUUGCAAAAUGGAGUCAACACAGAAACUUCCUGAAGUUGGCAAAGCUUGUUUUCUUUGGCUGACAGGAGUAACUGAUGUAUUAUUAUUUUUUAAGGCUCUGAGAUAAAUCUGAUUCAUGUUUGAAUCAUAAGUUUAUUAUUGAUUUUUAGUGUGGAUUUUGCAUAAGAUACUCAAUUUAGAGAAUACUCAGCUUUCUCAUAUGCAGAAUAGAAAAAAAGUAGUUACCUGAUCAGAUUUUUUGAAAGGUAAAUGCAACAGCAGUUGUAAAUGGCAUAGUCCAUUGUUAGGAAUAGACUAGGUGUUCAAUAAAUGAAUAAAAAAAAACCGUGAAGCUCUCCUGAAGCUUUAUAUUCCCUGUCUAUAAAAUGGAGACAUCACUGAUUUCCUGCUUACAUUACAAGACUGCUGUGAAGAUCAAAUGAAGAAACAGAUAAAAAUGUUUGGUAAACUGAAUUGUACAGUAUAAAUAGAAAGCGGUGACAAAAGUAAUUCAUACCAAUGCAGUUUUUUAAAAAUAUCCCAACCUGCCUACACAACUACUUCCUCUCUCUGAGAUUUAUCUCAAAAGUGGAAUUAGAUUCCUGUCUUAGCUGUAAAAAUAAAGCCACAAAGGGCAUCAUGCAUGAGAGAGUAAAUGUGAAACUCUGUGGGGGAAAAUGGAAACUUCAGAUAUUAUUAGGGCCUAGCUGCCAAUGGUGAUUCUCUCAAGAUUUUAUUGGCAGGUUGAGUGAAAGUGCCAGAGUGUGGAUGCACAAAUUGUAGUUUAAUUGGUGUGAUUUAUAGCUAAUGGUGCAUCAGAAGGAGGAACUAGGAACUGUGCCUUCUAAUUUAAGGCAUAGUACCUAAGACUGCAUCCACUAGGUAAGAAAACCUUCCUUGGCAAACUCAAAUAUUAAAUCUUCGCUGAAUUUGUCUUGUUCUUUUAUAUAAAAAUCAUGGAGCCAGGAGCUAAAAUAAUAUCUAAGUUUCCUCUUUGCCUGACGCCAUCCAUGCAAAAUGUGACUUGCUUCUUCAGCAGCAGCAUGAAAACAAACUAAUACACCACUAUUCCUAGGUAAGUAGAGCCACAAUGGGAAGACCACUAAGGGAAUAUGGAGGCUCACAGAGGCUAGUCAAUUUAUCCAAGGCCACGCAGCAAAGCUGGGACUCAAACUCAAAUCUUCUAGUCCUAGUUUCAUUCAGUUUUUUUUUUUUCCUACAUUGAUUCUAGACUUUGUUCUACAAGUGACUACUUUUCUGUUUUGUUCCUGACAUGAACAUGUCCAUGGCUGUCUCAGACUUGUUUGGUUACCCUAAGUAACCAUUUAGCAGCCAAUUUCUGAUAUGACUAUAGAUACAUCUCUAUAAGUGAAUUCUAUAGGUGAUUUGGCAUGAUCAAAAUGAAAAGGCUUUGUUUGAGUUCCCCAAUAUACUGCUCAAAUGAAAGCUUCUCAAAAUAUCAUUUUGAGAUACGACAGGUCUUUCCUUCAAAUACAACAGAUACUUUUCUUUUGCAGCACUCAGCAUACAUACAACUAUUUAUUUAUCUGUAAGUACUUGCUUAGUAUCUGUGAAGAACAUUGCAGGUACCUGACAUAUGUCUAACUGAUGGAGUGAGGCUGCUAAUGUGGCCAUCUCUCCCUCUUCCUGAUAAGAAAGUGAACCAGCCAUUUCAAAAUGUGGAGAAUUCGAUAAAUAUGUUCUACUCCUCUAUAGCCCUCCCACUAAAAUAAUUUUCAAUUUUCAAUUGAGGUGAAAGGAAGAAUCGGCAAAGAGACGGAUUGAGAGAAUUGUUUAUACUCAUAACUUCGUUCUCAACAUAAUUAUCUAUUUCUGAAUCCUAAAAAUCACCUAGCUAGAUUCUCCCUCAAUCUGAAGAUUACCUUUUACUCCUUGAGAUGCUAAAUGUGUUCCUAUUUAUCAUAUUAAUAUUGCGAGUAUUUUGUGUUAUGCAGCCAGAAAAAUCACAUAAUGGGAACUUACCCACAGCCCCCAAACUCAUAAACAGGAGCUGAAUAGAAAUUCCUCAGUGCAAUUUAUGGUAACAAUUUCAUGCUCAGUUUAGUUACUUCCAUGACUCAGAAAAGAAAUUUCUUUUGCUUAUUUCAGUAAUUUUUUUCUAAAAAAUUGUUCCCCUAAUUUUUGGCAAAGGAUCUAUGAGAAAGUGAAGAACUCCCUGGUUGUACAUGGAUUUGGAAUUGUCACUUAAGUGAGGCCAAAAUGUAACCCUAUGCCAUUCAUUGCAUAGUACCAUUUGUUAUAAAUUUGACCUCUAAAACAAAGAUAUUACAAAGCCAUUGAGUGUUUUUUUAAGGGAUAUAUUAUAUUUGUCACUUAGUCCCCAGUAUUAUGAUGGAAAACCUGGAUAGUGGAUAGAAAACCUGGAGGUCAUUUAGGCAUCUCUUUCACUGGUUGGGUGAGAAAUGGUGAAGAAGAUGGGAAUGGAGAAGGGACAUACAUUUGGUAAGUGUAAAUAAGAGUCUUUGCUGAUUAAUUCAGUGUGGCCCAUGAGAAAGAGUGGAAGUGUCCAAGGUUCCCUCAGGUUUACAGCUUGGGCAACUGACUGAGAACAGAAAGGAGCUGCCAUUGAGAGGAAGAAAAGAAAAUGACACUGAGUCCAUGUUGGGACACAUUGGGUUUAAAGGGAUAUCAUUAUGACCUAAGCUCUCUGAAUUCCAGUGACUGGGAAUAUGGGAAGAUACAUCUUUAACAGUUGAAGCAAUUUAUACACUUUAACAAUUGAAGCAAUUUAUACACCAGAGCCUAAGGAAUAUUUAUAGAUGAGGGCUGUGCUGCAAUGACAGAUAGGGUUGUAUGAAACAUACACUAAUCUGACCAUUCUAUCCUCCAGACUCAGGGAAGGAAAUAAUAAAAGUAAGUAACCAUAAAAAAUAGACUUUUAUGCAUAAAUAAAUAAAAAUCAGCUAGGAGACAGUUCAUCCCUGUAUAAGUAAAACAGGCAAAUUUAUCUUUCCUCUGAUUAAUAAUUUAAGAAAAAAUCCCAAGCAAGCUGCCUAUGGAGGUGUAGGAGUAGCUCCUAUAAUUAGACUCCAAUUUGAACCAUGAGGGUGAGGAUCAGAAAGCUGACUCAGAGCCUGGUGUCAAUUAUUUGCAGUUUGUACAACGAAAGGCUAAAAAUUUGGGAGAUGCAGGAUGACUGAAGCCCGAUUCUGGGGGUUGUUACAGCACAGUUACAGGGAUGUUCUCAGGUGUCUGGUGAUCCUUGCUUAUAAGUCCAAAUUAAUGAUGAGGCACUAAAAUGCUGAUUGGAAGCUCUCUGUGCAGGCAGGUAUUGUUGAAUAGUGGUAAACAGGGGACAUGUUCAUUUUGGAGACACUCAAAUAUCAGGACCUAUAAAUCUCUAUGCCAAGUCAGUUUCCCCAGAGUCUCUUAAUAUCAUUUCUUUCAGGUUAAAAGCCUGGUUACCAGGUUCUGGGAGUGAAGGGAGGAGUGGGGCUUAGACAAGGGUGGGGGCGGGGGUAUGUCUCACAAUUCACUAAAUACCUUCUUUUAUAUAUGUGUUCUCUGUGCAGCAUUUUACCCCCACCAUCGUCCAUGUCUGAUGCCUCAGGUUCAAUCUUGUUCAGUCUUUCCAAAGAGGAAACAUUGGUUGGGUGGGAAUGAUUGGCAGGUCGAAGAGAGAAUUUGAAGCUAUAGCUGCUCCUUUUAAAACUUCUAACUCAUCUUUGUUUUUUCAGGCCUUCCUCACACCCAUGUCUUCAGAUACCCAAGGCCUUUAAUACCCAAGUCCUUCCAGGAUUCUGCACAUCUCAUUAGCUUCAUAUUCCCGUAAGUACUUGGGUUUCUGCUUUCUCAGCUCUGAUGUGUCAUUUUCUAAUCAAUCAUCAGCAUUCCAGCUUCCAAAGUUUUGUUCAUAUAUCUUACAUGUGUUGUCUUGACCGACUUCUUUUUGGACCUUAGAUUAUUUACCUAUUUAAAUUCCUUAAUUGUUACUUUAGUGGAGUUUUGGAAGGGAACAAAAAUAUAGGCAGGUGUUUAUCACAUUUAACAAGGAACUCAAAAUUUAUAUUUAAUUCUAUUUAAUCUGGCUGCCUUCUUGCCAUCAGUCUAUUUGAAAAGUUCAUAUGGACCCAGCUCUGUCAUCAUCACAUGUUCUAUAUCCCCAAACCUUGUGACAUCUGCAAAGAAGUACAGAAGACCUCAAGAGAAGAUAAGCUAGAAUUUAUUUAUUUUUAUACCUUUUAUUCAGUUUUUAUUAAAGCUUUCCUACCUUUCCAGAUUGACACAGAAUUAUUCCAUGAAUCUGUCUAUUAAUCCAUUUACAGCAAGUGCUGGGGAUAGAAAUUAAGGUUUAAACAUAUAAUUCCUGCCAUCAAAGGACUCCCUGUUGAUUAGGGGACACAGGCAAGAAAAUAGACAGUAAGUUUGUUAAGGCAUGAACAAAGAACUGUGUUGGUACACACAGUACAGAGAGGAAGUACAAAGAGGAUGGUGCUUAAGAAGAGUUAACACCUAGACCUAAUCUUAGAGGAUGAGGAAGCAUUGGGUAGACUAGAAGACUAGGUGUAGGGGUAAAGGAAGGCAUAUCAGAGAAAAGGGAGCAGCUACAUAGAGGCAAGGACUAUGCCUCUUCUGCCUCUGAAGAGGAGAAAUUUCUUUCAAUCAAUAGAAAGUGCAGGACAAAGGGUACUAAGUCAUCUUUUGAUGGGAUAACUUGAUGUUAGUGUCCUUCCAUGAGAAAAUGGGAAGCAGCCCCUUAUAAUAAAACCUCUGGCUUUUGAAUUACCAAGUAAAACUGAGGUGUCAGCAACCCUUGGCUGAAUGUGGAACUUGCUAAUAGAACCCCUACAUUCAUGGGAAGGGAUAAAAGAGCUUUAAAAAGUACAAAAGCAUUGUGUGAAUAUAUGGGAUUAAUAUUACUACUACAAUAUUGCCUACCACCACCAUCCCCAGCCCUGAGGAGUCUUCUUAAACUUACAAAAUGAAGCUGCUUCUCUAUGGAUGUAGACAUUUCCUGGUUUCAACAUUGCACCAUAGCUAUGCAUUAUGUCAACAUUGGGAAAAGGCAGGGUGGAAGGUGCACAGGAGCUCUCUGUACAUUUCUUUGAAACUUCCUUUAUACCUUUUAAAAGUUAAAAAGCAGCAGCAGUGGCAGCUUCUCAAGGCCAAAGAUGGGGAGCUCUAUUUCAUUUGCAUUUCUACUCAGGGCUAUAAUGAAUUGAACUCAAUGUGUUGCUAAAGAUUAUUAUGAAAUUAAAAUCCAAUUAGGAUGGUCUCGUGGGUCUGGUAAAAGCUUGGAUUAGAGACCAGGCACAACACGGGGUUGGGGGAGAUGGACUGCUCAAUAGAAGUAGGGCUGAGUGGGGAGUUUAAAGCACUGGCCUCUAAGUAUAGGAACCACUGUACAAAUUUUAAAAUAUACUCAGGAUAGUUAAUAUUUGAUCAAAAUCCACUGUGAAGUGAGGAAUUUUUCCUGCUGGGCAUUCUAUUUUCCAGUUCUAUGAUCAAGCCCAGUGACUGGUAAAUACAAUAUGCCCCACUAGCCCCCAGCUUCUCCCAGCUCCUGUUCCCUCCUGGUGCUCAAAGGGAGAAAGGCUAAGAAAUUCCAAGCCCUGGUCAGGAAAGUGAUCUUGAAAUCACACACAAUGAAUAGUGCCAUCACUAAUGACUCAGCUUGUAAAGAACCAGUGAAGUGAGGAAAUUCUUUCUAUGCACAGAAUGUCUAGAUAUUUAGGCAAAAUUGAAGGGGAUGAGGCAGGAAUAACCAGGACAAACUCAGUAAGAACUUCAACCCUGGUUUUCUCAAGAUUCAGUUUAUGUGCUGAUCAUUUUCUCUCAUAUCUAAUUCCCUUACUUCCCCUGCUCUGUUUUACAUCGAAAGUGCUGACUUCAUGCAAAUUACAUGCAAUUUGCAUGUAAUUUGGAAUUUGCUCCCUGGGAAAAUCACUUCUGACUAGGUUCAGCCAAUGGGAGGCACUAACAGGAGAUUGGAGGGUAGGAGGAAGGGAGGCAUAAGGGAAUUUCUUUCCCCUCUCUGUUUCAGGUGGCAUUUCAAGAAUGUCUGUUUUUCCUCCAUGAUUUCUAUAGAUAUUCCUUAAUUUUCAAGUCUCCAUUAGCAUAGGUAUGAAGGUUUCUCAAUGUGCUCUUGCUUUGGCUUCCUUUAGUCAGAAUAGAAAGAGAAAGUUUUUUAACUUUAUUCAAACAUAUUAGGGGUUUGCUAGAGAAUACAUUAUUUGCCCCUAGUUAUCCUGAUGUUAUAAAAGGAGGCAGACCUGGACAAGUGUAAAUUAGCACAGACAUUCUAACAAUCACCAGAAAAAUGCACCCAUAAGUAGUGCCAAUGCAAGAAGUUUUGACUGUAAUGCCCGUGUGCAGUAGGCUGAAUGAUGGCCCCCAAGUAUAUCUAUAUCCUAAUCCCGAGAACUUGUGAAUGUUACUUGCUAUGCUGAAAGGGACUUUGAAGGUGUGAUUAAGGGUUUUGAGAUGGGGAGAUUUUCCUGGAUUAUAUGAAUGUGUCCUAAAUAUAAUCACACAGGUCCAUGUAAGAGGUAGGCAAGGUCAAAGGAGGAAAUAGAAGGUAAGAUAAUGAAAACAAGAGGUUGGAGGGCUGUGAGGAAGGGGGUCACAAGCCAAGAAGCAUAGGUGGCCUAGAGAAGCUAGAAAACACAAAGAAAUGGAUUUCUUAUAGAGUCUUCACGGGGGACUAGCCUUGCUCACACCUUGACUUUAGCCUAGUGAAACUGAUUUCAGACUUCUGGCCUCCAAAACUGUAAGAGAAUAGAACUGUGCUG
rnacentral:lncRNA from 1 species